rnacentral:lncRNA from 1 species
GGACAUCUUCUUCAGUUGAAUGUGACUGCUGAACCCAAGCGGAGUCGGAGUAGUCGUGAGUGUCAACACGUGGAGGACUAUUAUCUCCACCAUGGUGAUCAAAAGCGUGCCCGACUUCCUCUUCUUCAUUUUCCUCUUCAUCUUCUUCUUCUUCACUUUCAUCACUGUCAUCAUCUGCUGCAACAGGCGCAGGGACAAAUCCUCUUCGAACAAAC